CUUGCGCAGGGCGCCCAGUUUGGCGGCGCGGGCCUGACGAGCCUGCUCCUCGGGAUCGGGGGCGGGUGCUGCGACUGCGGCGGGUGGGG
rnacentral:tRNA from 1 species